rnacentral:piRNA from 1 species
UCAGUGGAAACUCGCAUUGGAUUUCUCAGC